rnacentral:lncRNA from 1 species
UGAGAUUUUUCCUUAUCUUUGGAGAGCCACCACUCCAGUGCAAACUUUCAAAUAAUGCCUUGCCAUUUUUAGUUUCCCUCCCUAGGACUCCUGGAACCAUAGUUCAUAAAAUUAUCUCACAGCGUGUGUUUUAUUCUUACUUCUGUUUGCUUUAAGGCCUCUCUGGAUGGUGACUAUAACCUAUAGCCUUGCCCAAUAUGACUCAGGAUUUGGUACUGGCUGUGCCUUUCAUGGGAUGCUUACUUAUCCUGGUCGAUGGCCUAAAGCCCAACCGUCCAGCUUAUAUCCAGGGUCUCAAGCCACCCAGGCUGGAGUGCAGUGGCACAAUUAUGGCUCACUGUAGCCUCACCUUCCUGGGAUCAAGCAAUCUUCUUUCUUCAGCCUCCAGAGGAGCUGGGACCACAGGCAAGUGCUACCACAUCCAACUAAUUUUUUGAUAAUUUUUUGUAGAGAUAAGGUCUCACUAUCUUGCUCAGGCUGAUCUCAAACAACUGAGCUCAAACAAUCCUCCCAACUUAGCCUCCUAAAGUUCUAGGAUUACAGACAUGAGCCACCGUGCCCAGUGAGGACAUUACAGGCAUGAGUCACUGUGUCCAACGAGGCCAUUGUUAAAGAUACAGUCGACAAAGAAAUCUGGUCAUUUCUGUGGCACAUAACAAUUCAAUGUAAUAAUCAUAAUUAUUACUGAUAACAUAUGCUAAGACCUAUUAGAAUUAUAGGAACCAUAUAAUUUUGGAAUACAUACUAAUAACAUAUUUGUAUAAAUAUAACCCAAAGAAAGUUAAACAUGAUUUUGUAUUUGACAGUGUUUUCUGUAGGUUAAUAUACCAAAUAAGCCAAACAUAUCUCUUUUGGACUUCAGGGGACCUAAUACUUAAAAGGCUAAUGAGUUAAAAUAAAAAUUCUUAGUUUAUAAUUUUAUUUUUCAAAGUGUGCAAAUAUUAAAGGUUUAAAACACUUCAUAUCACGAAAUAGAA